AUGGGUCGGGCAGAAAGGUGCUGGGUCAAGGGGAGGAGGGGGCAGCCGGGAGCGCGCGCACGCUCUGGACUCGUGCAACCGCCAAAACGGGUGCGCGCCGGGUUGACGGGUGACAGGGAAGGUGGCAGGGUUGGGGCAGCCCUUUCCCAGGCGGAGCCGCCCCUCCUGUCGGUGGCGUCGGUUACAAAGGGAGCAGCCCCCGAGGCCGCCACACAGCUCCCCGCCGAGGCCUCGGUGCCCCUUGCCAUUUUCCAUCCGCGCUCCCACGAAGAACCAGGAGCCGCAGCCGCGGCUCACGCUCCACUGCAGCAUAACGGUGAGGCGCCCGGCGGCGGCCUCGCAGGGCAGCGCGGGGGCGGAGGGGGGAGUCCCGAGACAAACGGCAGCGCAACGGGUAGAGGCGCCGGGUCCCCGCCCCUUUCUCCCUCAGCCGGCCCCGCCCCCGGGACUGCGCGAGGCUUGGGUGGGAGGAGGCGGAGGGCGCGUCUGUCCGGCUCCUGGCGCGGGGCUGACUUGGGGGCUGCUGGCCCCUCUUGGCCGCCGUCGCUACGCACCGAGUUUGUGUUUAAGGAGAAACUAACAAUGAAAACGCACUCGUUGACGGAGGAAAAGUUGGAAUGCAGCCUCUGGUGCUGUUUGAGCGAUCCCUCUCCCCGGGGCCUGGCCGCGCACUGCUGUGUUCUGGAAGGGCUCAUUGUACAGUCAAGGCGGCAGGAAUCCUAUUCAUCUUUCUCACCAAUAUGUUUUGUGGACUCUGACGAGCCAAAUCUGACAUCAGUUCUGGAACAUCUAGAAGAUACUAAGAACAACCAUUCAGUGAAGAGAGAAGCCAAGCUAUUUUCUCUUUUCCUCAUGAACAUUAUAUUUAGAAAUUAAAUGUUAAGAGAUAAUAUGAUAUAAUGUUAAGAGAUAAUAUGAUAUAAAAGCAUGAUUAAUGACUAUAAUCUUAGAGGAAUUAAAGUCUGGGUAUUUUAAGUCCUUCAAAUCUUA